UGUUGCCAGCGGUCCGGCCGGGAACUCAAAGGAGACUGCCAGUGAUAAACUGGAGGAAGGUGGGGAUGACGUCAAGUCAUCAUGGCCCUUACGAGUAGGGCUACACACGUGCUACAAUGGCGCAUACAAAGAGAAGCGACCUCGCGAGAGCAAGCGGACCUCAUAAAGUGCGUCGUAGUCCGGAUUGGAGUCUGCAACUCGACUCCAUGAAGUCGGAAUCGCUAGUAAUCGUAGAUCAGAAUGCUACGGUGAAUACGUUCCCGGGCCUUGUACACACCGCCCGUCACACCAUGGGAGUGGGUUGCAAAAGAAGUAGGUAGCUUAACCUUCGGGAGGGCGCUUACCACUUUGUGAUUCAUGACUGGGGUGAAAGUCCUCAUUAAAGGUUCUCGAUCGCCA
rnacentral:rRNA from 1 species